rnacentral:rRNA from 1 species
UUCCUAGUAAGCGCGAGUCAUCAGCUCGCGUUGAUUACGUCCCUGCCCUUUGUACACACCGCCCGUCGCUCCUACCGAUUGAAUGAUCCGGUGAAGUUUUCGGAUUGCGGCUACUCCGGCGGUCCGCCGCCGAAGAAGCUGUGAGAAGUUCAUUAAACCUUAUCAUUUAGAGGAAGGAGAAGUCGUAACAAGGUUUCCGUAGGUGAACCUGCGGAAGGAUCA